UAAAUUCAUUUAACACCCCCUUGAUGUGAGUGUAUAUAUAUGACCUUUCAUGGAGGAAGAUAGUGCACUUUCACAUUCACUUUUACUUAUUAUUCAAAGUAGUGAAAUUAACAUGGCUAACAAGUGCUUCUCUCCUGCACUAGCUAUCCUUCUUAUUGUUCUUCUCGUUGGGGUUUCUGUUCAGGUUAAGGCUUUGAGAAACCUACCACAAGAUAUUCAAAUGCUUGAACAGAUUGUACUCUCUGCAAAUACAAAUCAAUUAUUCCCUCACUGUAGCAUGUCAUGUCGAACCAACAACGACUGUAAAAAUCUUAGGUUCUGUUUCAAAUGUGGUCAUAAUAUGCUUCACCUACUCGUUUGCGUCUGGAGUGUAUAGGUGACAAUGUCACCUAUAAUAUUAUAGUAAUAAGUGAUGAGUUACUGCAAGACCGACGAUGGUUGUGAUCGAGUGGUAAUUUCUCAUUCGUUGUCCUUAACUAAAUAUCUUGAUUUCGAGUUGUACUGAAUAGUAAGUCUCUUUUGUUAGGGACUGAAAGUUAUUCUGGGAAAAGUAAAUUGAUUAGGAGCUCUUAACACCAAAGAUCAACAGUCUAAAUGUGUUAUUUACUCUUGAUCUUCUAAGGUCCAUCAUAUGUAUGUUCAUGUAUUAUUAUCUGUAAUGGCGACUACAUUAGGUGUGUUUUAUGUUGGUAAUUAAGGAUAUUUUUAUUGGAAAAA